AGGCGGCCUUCUGGACAGUACUGACGCUGAGAUGCGAAGCGUGGGGAGCAAACAGGAUUAGAUACCUGGUAGUCCACGCUGAAAACGAUGUCGAUUUGGAGUUUGUUGCCUAGAGUGAUGGGCUCCGAAGCUAACGCGAUAAAUCGACCGCCUGGGGAGUACGGCCGCAAGGUUAAAACUCAAAUGAAUUGACGGGGGCCCGCACAAGCGGUGGAGCAUGUGGUUUAAUUCGAUGCAACGCGAAGAACCUUACCUGGUCUUGACAUCCAUAGAAUUCUGCAGAGAUGUGGGAGUGCCUUCGGGAACUAUGAGACAGGUGCUGCAUGGCUGUCGUCAGCUCGUGUUGUGAAAUGUUGGGUUAAGUCCCGCAACGAGCGCAACCCUUAUUCUUUGUUGCCAGCGAUUUGGUCGGGAACUCAAAGGAGACUGCCGUUGAUAAAGCGGAGGAAGGUGGGGACGACGUCAAGUCAUCAUGGCCCUUACGACCAGGGCUACACACGUGCUACAAUGGCGUAUACAAAGGGAAGCGAAGGUGCGAGCUGGAGCGGAUCUCAUAAAGUACGUCUAAGUUCGGAUUGGAGUCUGCAUCUCGACUCCAUGAAGUCGGAAUCGCUAGUAAUCGUAGAUCAGAAUGCUACGGUGAAUACGUUCCCGGGCCUUGUACACACCGCCCAUCACACCAUGGGAGUGGGUUGCACCAGAAGUAGAUAGCUUAACCGCGAGGGGGGCGUUUACCACGGUGUGAUUCAUGACUGGGGUGAAGUCGUAACAAGGUAACCA
rnacentral:rRNA from 1 species